rnacentral:rRNA from 1 species
UACGUAGGGUGCGAGCGUGUCCGGAAUUAUUGGGCGUAAAGGGCUCGUAGGCGGUCUGUCGCGUCGGGAGUGAAAAACUCAGGGCUUAACCCUGAGCCUGCUUCCGAUACGGGCAGACUAGAGGUAUGCAGGGGAGAACGAUUCCUGGUGAGCGGUGAAAUGCGCAGAUAUCAGGAGGAACACGGUGCGAAGGCGGUUCUCUGGG